GAUUUGAACUGAAAAAGUCAUCAACAACAAAAUUGUAUAAAUCAUCAAGAUCUAUAAAUUCUAUUUUGGUAAUUUCUUCAUUCGACAAAAUGAUUUGUAACAUUGUUCACAAAAUGUACAUAUCACUUAUAAUUUUAUAAACUGUAGGAGAGAUAUGUAAAUUUUAAGAAUAUGUUACGAUCAUUUUGUUGGAUGAAGAAAUAAUCAAAAUAGAAGUUAUAGAUCUUGAUGAAUUAUACAACUUUAUUGUUGAUGACUUUUUCAGCUGAAAUC
rnacentral:pre_miRNA from 1 species